rnacentral:rRNA from 1 species
UGGGGAAUAUUGCGCAAUGGGCGAAAGCCUGACGCAGCAACGCCGCGUGCGGGAUGAAGGCCUUCGGGCUGUAAACCGCUUUCAGUGGGGACGAACCAAGACGGUACCCACAGAAGAAGCCCCGGCCAACUACGUGCCAGCAGCCGCGGUAACACGUAGGGGGCAAGCGUUGUCCGGAUUCAUUGGGCGUAAAGAGCUCGUAGGCGGUUCGAUAAGUCGGGUGUGAAACCUCCAGCUUAACUGGAGAACUGCUUACGAUACCACUGCGGCUCGAGGAAGGAAGGGGUCAUGGGAACUGUCGGUGUAGCGGUGAAAUGCGUAGAUAUCAAGAGGAACACCUGAGGUGAAGACGGGUUGCUGGGCUGACACUGACGCUGAGGCGCGAAAGCCAGGGGAGCAAACGGGAUUAGAUACCCCGGUAGUCCCUGAGCGGGCUGGCAAGGCGCAU